ensembl:ncRNA F43E12.6 ncRNA
CUGAUGAAUGCCGCAAAGGCGACGCAUCCUUGUUGUGCCCUCUCGACGGAUUUCCAUCCGUUUACCGUAUUCAUCAUUCUUCUACUUGACAGCUCACCAUAUUCACACCCCUUCUCCUGCCGCCGGCUGUCGCUGUCUUCACCUCCUUCAGCUGCUUUUUUGUGAAUUGAAACACACACCGCACACUC